rnacentral:rRNA from 1 species
CACCUCAUCUUCUGCAGCACCUCCGGAGUGGACUUGCCAGGCGCCGACUUCCACCUGACAAAGAUGCUCGGCCUGCGCCCGUCAGUGAAGCGUUUCAUGAUGUACCAGCAGGGCUGCUUCGCCGGCGGUAUGGUGCUCCGUCUGGCCAAGGACCUGGCCGAGAACAACCGGGGAGCACGCGUGCUGGUGGUCUGCUCGGAGAACACGGUCAUGACUUUCCAUGGCCCUGACGAGUCCCACCUCGACUCGCUGGUAGGCCAGGUGCUCUUCGGCGAUGGCGCGGCGGCCGUGAUCGUCGGGGCGGACCUCGACGAGUCCACGGAGCGGCCGCUGUUCCAGCUUGUAUCGGCGAGCCAGACCAUCCUGCCGGAAUCGGAGGGAGCCAUUGGCGGGCAGCUACUGGAGGCGGGCCUCACCUUCCACCUCCGCAAGAAUGUUCCCAUACUCAUCUCCAAGAACAUCGAGCGUGCGCUGGAGGACGCCUUCAAGCCACUGGGCAUCCACGACUGGAACUCCAUCUUCUGGGUGACGCACCCCGGCGGGCCGGCCAUCCUCAGCAUGAUCGAGGCCAAAGUCAAGCUUAACAAGGAGCGGAUGCGCGCCACCCGGCACGUCCUGUCCGAGUACGGCAACAUGUCUAGCGCGUGUCUGUUCUUCGUCCUGGACGAGAUGCGCAGACGCUCCUCCGAGGACGGACACACCACCACCGGCGAGGGCAUGGACUGGGGUGUCCUGUUCGGCUUUGGCCCCGGCCUCACCGUCGAGACCAUCGUCCUCCACAGUGUCCCCAUCGCCUCCCCGUGA